rnacentral:lncRNA from 1 species
CUCGGAGCCGGGGCUGCGCUCUCGGAGCCGGGGCUGCGCUCUCGGAGCCGAGGCGGGUGGCCUGCCGUCCUUUCCCUCCGGGGCCUCCUCGGGCUGCUCUUGCUGGGUCCUGGGCCGCGCACACCCCGGAUCAGCUCCCGGCGGGACCUCGCUGCCUUCGCAGUGAGUCUUUGGGCCUCAGGUGUGGCAGGGGCAGCCUUCUGUGAGAAGGCACUUCUGUGAAAUUGUGCAUAGUGACCAAAAGGCCUGAAGUUGUGAGCAAGUGGUUUCGCGCUAGGUGUAAAAGCUCCUGUUAUUACCCGAGCCCGUUACCAUGCAGUGCAGUCGGAAUUGCCAGAUCCUGGGCAGACAGAAGUUUGUCGACCGCCGCCUUGCACCUAGACGCUCAGUACGAAUGUACUGACCAAAUCUCUGGACCCACGUCCCUACCCAGGGAUUCAGUUCAGUUCAGUUCAGUCGCUCAGUCGUGUCUGACUCUUUGCGACCCCAU